GUACAACCCAGAGUGUGCCCUCUCCCAGGUACAGCCACUGGAGCCCUGGGGCAAUACUGUUUAUGGCUAUGCCACGUGCGAAGAUGCAGAAGCCUAUGAGCUGCAGGAUGGUGAGUUCAGCUCUGGGAUCUUCAUGAAAUAUUUGAAGAAACAUAUUUUGCAGGAGAAGAAAGUUACACACAUGCUGGAAGAUGUAUUAGAAGGUAAAGGAGUGGUUUGUACCCAAGCUGGAAAUGUGUUUCCCUAGCAGGGAUGAGAAAAAAUAUCAGCAGAAACCAAGUCCCAGCAAAGGAGAGAGGAAAGAUCAGCACCCCUGUUCUGCUUCCCCAGAAAUGAAGUUGCAGGCUGUAUUCCACGCAAGGGUUUAGUGUUCUGGCAGCAUGGAGCAGAAUGUUGAUGUAGUCUGAAAGGCAGGAUGGUAAAUAAGGAACCUGGAGUGACACUUGUGCCACUAAAAUGUCUUUUCCAGACCUUGGCCAGGAUCCAAUGGUCACUGGGAAGCAGGUGAUGGAGAUCAAACACACUCUGAAGGAAGCCCGUUCCCUGACAGACCCCAUCUGCCCCACAGGAGCAGCCUCAGAGCGCUGGGGAUGCAGCCACGAGCCCCCAAGCGAAACAGUGACGUUCCCCUGUGGAGUGCAGGCAGAGCUUCACUUCCACCGGCUUUUCUCCAACGUGUUGUCUGUCUGCGCCAAGCUGCAGGACCUCCCGGCCCCCAUCACUGAUGCCCAGCUCAUGCUCCGCCAGCCCACUGAAGUGGACGAUGUGACCAAUCUGGAAGAGAGUCACCCAGACCAAAUGGAUUCUCUGCUUACCUCUGUCUAUAGGCAGGAGAAGCUGGACUGUGUCUUCCAACUCUGUGGACUACAGAAAAUUCAGGUAGAGUGCAAGUACAGUUUCCUGUGGCCUCGCACAAGCAGUUCUCCCCACUGCUGCUGGCUGUACCCCUCUGACCAUGCAACUUUUGGCUCCAUGCAGAAGAUGCCCAGCAUCUGUGGUGUCAUCAUCUUGCCCAGAUUGAUGUUAGCAGAGCUUGCUGGUGGGCACAAAAGCUUGCUUUUCUCUUGCCUCACUCUGUAUUUCCACUACCUGCCCAGAGGGGCUGUUCCUUGCCUGUGGCAGCCUUACAGAGGUCUAAGUAGCCCACGUGUUGUGAGUGAAGGAUGUCUCACUGAGCACUGUGCUUGCCUGAGCAGCAGAAGGGAUGAUUUCCUGCUCUCAGAGUGGUACUACUGA
rnacentral:lncRNA from 1 species